rnacentral:hammerhead_ribozyme from 1 species
AUCCAGAUGAAGAGUCCCAAAUAGAACGAAAUGCCGCCCUGGAA